CUUUAUUCUUCGGAUUGAUCAGUAUUCUUUCCGAGGUCUGAGCGCUUGUGAUUCACUCUUCCUUUUUUCUGUAGUUUUGAGACUUAGCUCCUAACCAACACCACCACCAACAACAACCAUGGCUGAUGAUGAAGCAAAGAAGGCCAAGCAGGCCGAAAUCGAGCGCAAGCGCGCUGAAGUGCGCAAGCGUAUGGAGGAGGCCUCGAAGGCAAAGAAGGCCAAGAAAGGUUUCAUGACUCCAGAGAGAAAGAAGAAACUGAGGUUGUUGUUGCGUAAGAAAGCCGCCGAAGAACUGAAGAAGGAACAGGAGCGUAAAGCAGCGGAACGUAGGCGCAUCAUUGAGGAACGAUGCGGCAAGCCCAAAAACAUCGAAGAUGCCAAUGAAGACGUUUUGAAAGACAUUGUUAAAGAAUAUUUCAACCGUAUGUAUACAUGUGAAGGCCAAAAAUGGGAUUUGGAAUUCGAAGUCCGGAAAAGAGAUUGGGAGAUUUCCGACCUCAACGCUCAAGUCAACGACCUUCGCGGUAAAUUCGUCAAGCCAACGCUGAAGAAGGUCUCCAAAUACGAGAACAAAUUCGCCAAGCUGCAGAAGAAGGCCGCCGAAUUCAACUUCCGCAACCAGCUCAAGGUUGUCAAAAAGAAGGAAUUCACCCUGGAAGAGGAAGACAAGGAGGCUAAGAAAUCGGAGAAGGCUGACUGGCAGAAGAAGUAGAGCGAGGGGGAACAAACUCACUUUUCUUUUAGUUAUCUUUUUGUAUAUUUAAAAUUAACUAGAAAAACCUCUACGUCUAUUUAUCAGUUUUGACCAUUUUUACUGUUAAUAUCCAAACCGUAAGAGUUAAUACUCACGAUUUGCUGCAAACCAUGAUCAGUAAUUUAUCAACUGUGCAAAACCAGAAACUCACUGCGAAUAAAAAGAAUCGUCUUAUGGAAACUAUUUAAACAUAAUUAUAAAAGAAAGCGAGUUUUGUUGUUCAGCAGUUCAAAAUUCCCUGAGAAAUAGUAAAAUAUCGAAAAACGAAUGCAUAGGUAAUGAAGGUAUUCACUUACUUAAGUUAUACUUUGAACCCCAAUCCUCGUAACCCCUUUUACUCAAAUGUUUCCAAUUAAACAAUUGCCAAAGCUCUACGCAAAAGGUUCCAAUUGUGUGUCGCGACAAAAAAGCAAUAAACUGUCAAAUUUCCUCAAACCGCGCACAGUCACAGAAGAAACCCGAUUGGUCCAAAAAGGGAGACGCCAAGGUAAAAGAAGAGACGACCGAAGCGGUUGAUGCCGAG